GCGGGAGUGGCGUAAUUGGCAGCCGCGCGGCGUUUAGGUCGCCGUGUCCUUCGGACGUGUGGGUUCGAAUCCCACCUCCCGCA
rnacentral:tRNA from 1 species